AGUGAACGCUGGCGGUAGGCCUAACACAUGCAAGUCGAACGGCAGCACAGGAGAGCUUGCUCUCUGGGUGGCGAGUGGCGGACGGGUGAGGAAUACAUCGGAAUCUACUUUUUCGUGGGGGAUAACGUAGGGAAACUUACGCUAAUACCGCAUACGACCUACGGGUGAAAGCAGGGGACCUUCGGCCCUUGCGCGAUUGAAUGAGCCGAUGUCGAAUUAGCUAGUUAGCGGGGUAAAGGCCCACCAAGGCGACGAUCCGUAGCUGGUCUGAGAGGGUGAUCAGCAACACUGGAACUGAGACACGGUCCAGAGUCCUACGGGAGGCAGCAGUGGGGAAUAUUGGACAAUGGGCGCAAGCCUGAUCCAGCCAUACCGCGUGGGUGAAGAAGGCCUUCGGGUUGUAAAGCCCUUUUGUUGGGAAAGAAAUCCAGCUGGCUAAUACCCGGUUGGGAUGACGGUACCCAAAGAAUAAGCACCGGCUAACUUCGUGCCAGCAGCCGCCGUAA
rnacentral:rRNA from 1 species